GACGUCCAGCGCCUCCCAAAGGUCCCGCGCUUUGUGAUUGUGCUUUGGGCCCGGAGCGCAGGUGGCGCUGGUGACAUGGGGACCCGCGUUCUCAGGGAAGCUGCGACCGCGGUGCGUUCGGCCCCAUCUCCGGGAGCGGAGGUCGUGGAGCAGAAUUUCAGGUGGCUGUCUCCGCAAAGGCUGCUCUUCCCUACGGCCCUUCACUGCUUCCAACAGGUUUGCAGCUUAUCUGGCUCAGGGAGAAACAAUCCCCAGAGGUCAAAAAGGACAAUUCUUGGCCUGGGAGAAAACUCUGGGUUUUACGGGACAUAUAUAUACUCUUUGAUAUGAUUUACAAAUUCUAUUACACCACUAGCUAGAUCAGAGGCCCCGCUCCAAGAGUAACUAGCUGGGUGGCCUGGACUAGCCUCUUUGAGCCUCAGUUUCCAGAUCUGUCAAAUGGGAUUAAUACCGACCAACGCACAGGGAUGUUUUGAGAACGAAAUUGGAACUUAAGCGUUCAAUAAAUAAUUUUUAAAAUUAGAACAGUAUGGUUGCGAGGUAAGAUGUUACAUUGAAAUCUUCUUGAAAAGCAGAAACUUAGUAUGGGCAUCCAAACACUAGAAUCAGCACUGGAUUAGGAAACUUCCAAGAAAUGUAACUACUGGAAGUAGCUGACGAGCCUAUUGUUCUGUGCGGGCAAGGGGAGAAGACAAGACGCAGACACACAAUACUUUAAGGGUAAACAACCUUUAUCCCAAUUACAUGGCAAUGCGGAUAUAAUAAGCAAAUUGCAAUGGGAAGGGGAGAAGGGAAAAGAUAUAUUUGUAUUUACACUCACCAGACUGUGGAGGAUUCGCCACCAGACCCGGAAGCAACAGCCUGGGCUCCAGAGGCGGACGCUACACUCACCAGACUACAGAGGAUUCUCGAAGUUUCUGCAUGCUCUGGGACCCUAGCUCUUUUUGUAACCAGUUGUUUGGCAUGAGACCCAGUGACAAGGGCCCUUCCCGACUGGGCUCAAGGAACACAAAAAGGUCAACUUGUUUUUGCGAUUGUCUGUUGUUUAACAACAACUAACAAAUAGGAAUAGAUUAAAUAGAGAUUUCUUUGAAAUAGAGCUGGAUGAAUUCCUCAAGGGGCUCACACUUGGUGACCAUUGUUCCUGUCCAUGUUUAGUUGAGUUCAAAUUUAAUAUUUAACUUUUCCUCCACGUUCAGCUUCAAUUUGAUAAUCAAUUGCAGGAAAAUACCCCUACAGAUACAUGGGGAAGGCAUAGUUGAUCUAGAUUACAGAUACAGGGUAAACACAGGAGAAUUAAAACCAACAAUAAUAACCACACCCACCAUGGCUUUGCAAGGAGAGUAAUAUUGUGAGAAUUGUCAGGGAUAUACCCAUAACAUCCAGUACGCAGUAAGGCGCAAACCCCUCCUUGGGUUGCAGUAAGCAUAUCUAAUGCCAUUCCAUUUGCAACACAACAGUACGCAGCUGAGCAAAUUCAUCUGCUAACAACAUACGUCCAGUGCUACUAUCAUUAAGAGCUUUUCUUAGAAGUAAGCUUAAUAUUUUAAUUGGUUGCUGAAGCAGGAUUACAUCGGCCGCAGGGGAGAAUACUGUGAUAGGGUACCACCCCUAGGGAGUCGGGUGCGCUCGUAACCAGGGAUGUUUGUGAGCAUCUAGAUUACUGGGGAGGGCAAUAUUAUCCCGGAUGGUGAGUGGAAUUAAUGGCCAUCCCAAAGUGCAUCUCCCCAUCCAAUGUGGGGGCAGGUAUUGCCACCCAUAGGAUUCGCACACUCAGAGGGCCCCCCAGGGGAUAGCAAUGGAAUUACUGUAAUCAUACUGUACUCAUGUGUUAUAAAAGUAGGAAAAAGACUGUGUUUCACUGGGGAUAAUGUUGAUUUGGAGCAUGUGUUGACAGUGUCUGGCAGUAGAAACCCCAGAGCACCAAGCCUUGGUUUGGUCAAAGAAAGUCCAGGUUGGAUUGCAAGUUUUGUUGUUGUGGUCCCAUUUGUAGUGACAUAGUCAUUCAGAAAUGUUAGCAGGGAGGAUUCUCCAAGGUAGCCCAUUCCCAGCGGCCUCCAGCAACUCAACGCAUAGCCAACAUAGACUGCGAUUGGCUUCUUCUGCAGCGGUGGCUACCCAGUUGAUGAAUUUAAUCUUGGCCUCAGACACAAAGACACAGGUGCUGACCAUUAGUAGAUAGGUUAUUCCCUGUGAUAACAAAAACGGAGGGGAAUAUGAUAUUGUUUUUCAUCUUUAGGAAAUUGUACUCUGCUUCAUUUUCUGCUCCUAUAGCUACAAGGUCACCAGUCUUAAGGGUGGGACCUGAUGGAUGCUGUACCCAAAUUUUGGCUCUAGGAUUUUGGCUCCAGGAUCUGCAUUCCCCAGUUCUGUGUGUAGCCUCUGUUGGGGCAGAGAUUUCCUCAGGGGUAAUUGUAGACAAGGUUCCACUAACAAUUGAGCAACCAGCAUCUGAGGUUUUAUAGCAAAAGAAUCUGGAGUGGUAUUGUAUAAAACGACCUUUAACUCUCCCUGGUAAUCACUAUCAAUUAUACCAUACGUUAUGAAGCCUCUCAUUGCAAGUCUUGAACAUGUUGUAAUCCAUUCGUCCGCAUUCAAGUUUGCAGUUAUGGUGGAAAUUUUGGCCUGUUGAUCUGCCUGCUGAUGAAAUAGUCUUUCAAGAGAAAACAGAGACAUAUGAGCAUCAACAUGGAAAACAGUGAUAAUGGUAGUGUGUGCCAGGAUUCAGAUGUCUUCCCCGUAUUGUUUACCCCAAACCUCUUUGUUCCCAAUUAACCAUUUGUUUUGUUACUGUUGGGGCAUCCAGGUAGGAAGAACAUUUGCUACUGACCAAGAGUUGGUAUUCAAGUGACAAAUCCCUCUGGCCUCCUCCUGAAUAGCUCAGAGGACCACUACUAGUUCAGCCAACUGGCUGCUCCCACCCCUUCCUUCAUCAGAAAUGCUUAUGCUUUUUAACAGGGUUAUGAGCCAUCACCUUCUAGCAUCGGGUCCCAUCAAUGUAUUUGGUAGAUCCAUCAAUAAACCAAGCAUGUUUCUGAUCCUCUGGGCUUAGUUCUUUAAAGGAUUUGCCCCAUUGGAUGGGGGAGGUUUCCUUCCCUAUCUGUAGGACUUGCUUGGUGAUUUCCUGAACUGGCAAGUUUUCUAUAUCCUCAUGUAAAAGUGAUACCCCCGUUGGUUUUGGCUUAGCCUGGUCUUGUAUGUACCAUUUCCAUUUGAUGAUGCUACUUUCCCUAUCUGGUGAGCUUUGGGGGAACUCAUGACCCAAGUCAUAAUAGGAAUUUCAGGCCUCAUAAAGACAUCAUGGUUGAAGCAGAGGUGCGCCAUUCCAGCAAAGCCCAAUAAUAAGCUAACAAUUACUUCUAGAAAGGUGUAUAAGCUUUGCCAUCCUCUGGCAGUUUUCAGGUCCAAAACCCCACAGGUACUGUCUUCCCAUCUUGUUUCUGCCUAAGGCUCUGAUUAGCAUGUUGAUCUAGGACAGUUACUUGCAGUUCUGCUGGGCCAUCCUGUAUGGGCCAUAGAUCCAGGACCAGUUGCACUACUUGUUUAGCUUGUUCAAAAGCCAUGCUCUUUUCCUCUCCCCAGUGAAAGUCAUAGCCUUUUCUAGUGACUGCGUGCAGAGGUUGUAAAAUGUUACCCAAGUGGGGAAUAUAAUGUCUCCAGAAUCCAAGCAAGGCAAUAAAUUUCUGGACCUCCUUUUUAGUGGUAGGAGUUGCAAAUUCUAGUAUUUUAGCUUAGCCUUUGGUAAAAUGGACUAUUUCCCUGCAUUCCAUAGGAUGCCAAGAAAUUUUACAAUUUGUGUAGGUCCUUGAAUUUUACUGGGGUUAAUUUCCCAUUCUUGAGACAGGAGCUGGGUUUUACCUGCUCCAAUCCCCAGCUCACUAGUUUUUCAGUUUUACCGUGGCUGGGCCACUUGAACAACUGCUUUUUUUAGCAAUAGUCUGAUAGCUUUGAGCCUGAUUAGUCAAGACAUAGGCCUGGCAUUGGGCCAGGGUGAGUCUGGAAGUCAGAUUAGCAUUUUCCUUUUCCAGCUUACAUUUCUCUUGUAGCAACCAGUCCUUAUCUUGAUACAUUAACUUAUAAGCAGUAAGCAAGCACCAUCCACACCAAGAAAUUCCCUCAGUUUCCUCUUUACCAACUGAGAUUCCCUCCAGCACCUCAUGCACAGCCAAUGGCUCAAAAUGCACUAAUUUAGAUUCCCAAUUUUCACACAGUCCAGUUCCGUUAGAUCACUCAGUGACCAAGGAGGAGAAGUCGGUGAGUUCCCAUCCCAGGAUAUGGGGACCUCCCAGCCCGAUCCUUGUGGUGGAAAAAUGGCAUGCUUUCACUUUCGGAUCCUGUUCAUGACCACAAAAAUGUUUUGUGCUGGAGACCUGCGAGGGGAGAAGGCAUGCACAAUACUUUUAACAGUAAACAACCUUUAUCCCACGUAAAUGGCAAUGCAGAUAUAAUAAACAAAUGAUACAAUAAGCCAAUGAUAUAAUAAGAAAAUUGAUAUAAUAAGCAAAUUGAUAUAAUAAGCAAAUUGCAAUGGGAAGGAGAGAAGGGAAAAGAUAAAUAUAUAUGUAUAUGUAUAUAUGUGUGUGUGUAUAUAUAUAUUUAUAUUACCUAGACUAUGGAGGAUUCAUCACCAGACCAGGGAAGCAACAGCCUGGUCUCCAGAGUCGGCCACUCAUCCGUACACUGACAAGGAGAUGUCUCAUGAAGCUUCGGUGCAGUCUGGGACUGUAACCAGUUGUUUGACAUGAGGCCCAGUCACCAGGGCCCUUCACAACUGGGCUCAAGUAACACAAAAGGUUGAGGAGGAGCAUGGGUUCCAUCAGGGAAGGAGAUGGGAACCUUAGCCUUGAUCACAGGGCUUCUCCAUCUGAGGGUGUGAGCUUGUGAAUGUCAUCUACUUUGGAGGACAUACUUCAUGAACUGUGCUGACUACAAUUACGAUAUUGUUAUUCUUGAAUCCCAGAGUAUGCUCAAUGGGUCAGAAUGUGAGGCCUUUGUCCCCGGUGCACAGAAGUGGUCUACAUGGACAGAUGUGAAAUGUGCAAUUGGAGGGAUGCUGAAUAGUAGCCAUCUGGCUGUCCCAUCUAGCUGGUAGAAAUAACAUAGUAAGUAUUCUUUGGGGAAGAAAGAAGCCAUCCAUCCUGCCCAUGACCCUAUUGCAACAUGAUAGAAACAACCUACAUGACCCUGUCACAUUCAAUAUCCACCUGAACACAGGAAUUCAAUUAGAAGCCUAAAUUCACUUUUCCAAGGAAGCUGAACCAAAAAAUGGCAAUCAUCUGGUGAUUCUGAUCAGUUUGGGUAUACAAGAUAACAAUUUGUUAUGAACUGGCACAUCUCCAUUGGACUGUGUAUUCAUCGGAAUUUCCAGUGCUGAGAAGACUAGGACAAUCCUUGUGGCUACGGCAAAAAAUUAAUAAAAAAGACAUAUUGUGGUGGCAGUAGCAGAAAGAGAAUCAGCCUAGCCAAUUCUUAAUUCUGAAAUUCAUCCCCGAGUUACUUCUCAGCCUCAGUUUAAGCAUCCAUAUAAAAGGAGGGCUUUGGAUCAUACAAUAGGGAUAUUUCGAGACUCUGUGGUUUCAGUAGUUUGUACAUUAGAACUCUUAACUUUGAGAUGAUUGAGUUCAUCUUGAAGAUUUAAAAUACAGUAAAAAAAUGAAAACAAAUCUUUAUGAGCAUUUACUAUGUUCAAAGUGCAUUCUUGUAACUUUACAGAAACUGUGUGAAAUAGAAGCUAUUAUUAUCUUCAUAAUAAUAGUCCAGAGAUGUUCAGAGAGAUUAAGAAACUUGCCCCAAACCAUAAAGUUAGUAAGUUGGGAAACGGGGAUUUGAACUCAAGUAUGUGGUAUGUCUCCAAAGCCUGAACUCUUAACCAUUAACUUAAAUGCACACAAAAAAACAAAAUAGAAACCUUUUCAAGUUUAAUUUUUGUUAAUCAUUAAAAUAUAGUU